rnacentral:piRNA from 1 species
UCCAAGAACCCGCGAGUCUUCUUUGACGUG